AGCCAUGCCGCGUGUGUGAAGAAGGCCCUCGGGUUGUAAAGCACUUUCAGCGAGGAAGAACGCCUAGCGGUUAAUACCCGCUAGGAAAGACAUCACUCGCAGAAGAAGCACCGGCUAACUCCGUGCCAGCAGCCGCGGUAAUACGGAGGGUGCAAGCGUUAAUCGGAAUUACUGGGCGUAAAGCGCGCGUAGGUGGCUUGAUAAGCCGGUUGUGAAAGCCCCGGGCUCAACCUGGGAACGGCAUCCGGAACUGUCAAGCUAGAGUGCAGGAGAGGAAGGUAGAAUUCCCGGUGUAGCGGUGAAAUGCGUAGAGAUCGGGAGGAAUACCAGUGGCGAAGGCGGCCUUCUGGACUGACACUGACACUGAGGUGCGAAAGCGUGGGUAGCAAACAGGAUUAGAUACCCUGGUAGUCCACGCCGUAAACGAUGUCGACCAGCCGUUGGGUGCCUAGCGCACUUUGUGGCGAAGUUAACGCGAUAAGUCGACCGCCUGGGGAGUACGGCCGCAAGGUUAAAACUCAAAUGAAUUGACGGGGGCCCGCACAAGCGGUGGAGCAUGUGGUUUAAUUCGAUGCAACGCGAAGAACCUUACCUACUCUUGACAUCCUGCGAAUUUGGUAGAGAU
rnacentral:rRNA from 1 species